rnacentral:rRNA from 1 species
AACCGACACAGGUGGUCAGGUAGAGAAUACCAAGGCGCUUGAGAGAACUCGGGUGAAGGAACUAGGCAAAAUGGUGCCGUAACUUCGGGAGAAGGCACGCUGACACGUAGGUGAAGUGAUUUACUCAUGGAGCUGAAGUCAGUCGAAGAUACCAGCUGGCUGCAACUGUUUAUUAAAAACACAGCACUGUGCAAACACGAAAGUGGACGUAUACGGUGUGACGCCUGCCCGGUGCCGGAAGGUUAAUUGAUGGGGUCAGCGCAAGCGAAGCUCCUGAUCGAAGCCCCGGUAAACGGCGGCCGUAACUAUAACGGUCCUAAGGUAGCGAAAUUCCUUGUCGGGUAAGUUCCGACCUGCACGAAUGGCGUAAUGAUGGCCAGGCUGUCUCCACCCGAGACUCAGUGAAAUUGAACUCGCUGUGAAGAUGCAGUGUACCCGCGGCAAGACGGAAAGACCCCGUGAACCUUUACUAUAGCUUGACACUGAACAUUGAGCCUUGAUGUGUAGGAUAGGUGGGAGGCUUUGAAGCGUGGACGCCAGUCUGCGUGGAGCCGACCUUGAAAUACCACCCUUUAAUGUUUGAUGUUCUAACGUGGACCCGUGAUCCGGGUUGCGGACAGUGUCUGGUGGGUAGUUUGACUGGGGCGGUCUCCUCCUAAAGAGUAACGGAGGAGCACGAAGGUUGGCUAAUCCUGGUCGGACAUCAGGAGGUUAGUGCAAUGGCAUAAGCCAGCUUGACUGCGAGCGUGACGGCGCGAGCAGGUGCGAAAGCAGGUCAUAGUGAUCCGGUGGUUCUGAAUGGAAGGGCCAUCGCUCAACGGAUAAAAGGUACUCCGGGGAUAACAGGCUGAUACCGCCCAAGAGUUCAUAUCGACGGCGGUGUUUGGCACCUCGAUGUCGGCUCAUCACAUCCUGGGGCUGAAGUAGGUCCCAAGGGUAUGGCUGUUCGCCAUUUAAAGUGGUACGCGAGCUGGGUUUAGAACGUCGUGAGACAGUUCGGUCCCUAUCUGCCGUGGGCGCUGGAGAACUGAGGGGGGCUGCUCCUAGUACGAGAGGACCGGAGUGGACGCAUCACUGGUGUUCGGGUUGUCAUGCCAAUGGCACUGCCCGGUAGCUAAAUGCGGAAGAGAUAAGUGCUGAAAGCAUCUAAGCACGAAACUUGCCCCGAGAUGAGUUCUCCCUGAGACUUAGAGUCUCCUGAAGGAACGUUGAAGACGACGACGUUGAUAGGCCGGGUGUGUAAGCGCAGCGAUGCGUUGAGCUAACCGGUACUAAUGAACCGUGAGGCUUAACCUUACAACGCCGAAG